rnacentral:lncRNA from 1 species
UGUCUGUCAAUUCAAUUCAAUGGAAGGGCUUUAUUGGCAUGGGAAACAUAUGUUAACAUUGCCAUAGCAUGUGAGGUAGAUAACAAAAGUGAAAUAAACAAUACAAAUUAACAUUAAACAUUACACUCACAAAAGUAACAUUUCAAAUGUCAUAUUAUGUCUAAAUAGUUCACUGUGUGCAAAUAGUCUGUCUGUCCAUGUCUGUCCAUGUCUGUCUGUCUGUCUGUCUGUCUGUCUGUCUGUCUGUGUGUCUGUGUGUCUGUCUCUCUCUUCUUGUAGGAGCAGAACUACAGGUUAGGUGGGACACCAUCAUGUCUCUGAGUGGUGGGUCGGCCUCGGUCCCUCUCUUGUUUUUGGCCAAGAGCACCCCCUGCCCCCCCCAUGCAUCCCCCUACCCAUCUUUAUCCCCCUGUCCACCAUUCAUCCUGGACUGCAGCUGCAGACACUCUGUGUGACCUUCUCUCCUCUCACAGAGCUCACAUUGAGAUACUCUGAGUCCUCACCUCACAGUACUAGACAACAAAUGAAAUAUGUAGUUCUUAAAUGUAAGGCUUUAUGGUACGAUAGCUAUAGGUUAUGUUGCUAUGGCUACAGCCUGCUAUUACAUGACAUCAUAACCAAUAUUGAUGUAAUGAUUUCCUGCCCUGAAGUGACUGCUACAGAAACAUCUAGCUACUUCACUCAAAUAAGGUUUUCAGUCAUCGCACAGUAAAACAUCAGUAGCUCCUGUUGUGGUCUAAAAUAGUUAUCUGUAGUGAGUCUGUUUCCCUCCGUGGGUCAGUGCCUUGGCCUCCUGCAGGAGCCAGAGGAUGGGAGGAUGGCAAGGUGUGUGGGGUCUGCCUGGUGGCAGGCAGAGUGCUUCAUGGGUAGCAGAAGGCUGAGCAGGAUGGUUCAGUGGUCGAGAGGCCCUUGUUCUCUUAGAAUGUUUCCCAAAUGGCACCCUAUUCCCUAUGUAGUGCACUACUUUUGAUCAUGUUGGAAACUCACCACAUUCACAUUCCCAUUCAUCACAUGCUAUGGUCGAAAAUAUGAAUGUUUCCAAUGUUACCAAGCAAGUUUAGAGCAGGUGCAAGAAUGGUUCAUUGUUAACUCCUCACAAUUGUCAGAAGGCACAAAUAGUGACUAUACUGCCUCGCUGUGUGUCCAUGAUGUAACGUGUAGCCCUAACCCGAUCUGCCUUGUUUUCUCAAGGCAUGUUUACUUUGUUGGGGAAAACAUAUAAACAAAGAUUUCGAGGAAGAGGGUCAUGUGCCCCUUCAAAUCUAUUGUCUCUGUGGAGAGAAUCACUCAGGAAUAAUAAACAUGGGCUGGAGAGGCAGCUUCAAACACCCCUAGGGGAAAGCCUUUCAGUGUGUGUGUGUGUGUGUGUGUGUGUGUGCAUGUGUGAAAUUCAAAAUGUGUGUGUGCGUGACAGCAUGCAUGACAGUCGGUAUGUGUGUGAAUUCCAAAGUGUGUGUACAUGCAUGUGCUUCAACAUCUGCAUUGCUGUUUGGGGUUUAAGGCUGGGUUUCUGUAUAGCACUUUGUGACAUCUGCUGAUGUAAAAAAAGGCUUUAUAAAAUAAUUUCAUAAAUAAUUUGUGUGUGAGUGAAUUCCAAAAAUGUGUUUGUGUGAAUUCCACAAGUGUGUGUGUGUGAGUGUGUGUGUGCGUGCGUGAGUGUGUGUGUGUGUGUGUGUGUUCCAAAGUAAAAGGGGGAAAGCAUACCGUGGGGAUCCCAGCUCUUCCCAGACCUCCCCUCACCUCUGGCUUCCAAGCUGUGAAAACAUGCUAGAGGUUUGUUGGGGUUCGGUGGCCAAUAAGGUGUUGAUGUAUGGUAGAGCUGUCUGAGAUCCCAGUGAGCCAUUAUAAGCACAGGCUGCUGUCGAUAGAGACUAGACAUCUUCCUACUGCUCUACACAGAUAUGGUAGAGUCUAUUCUACCAAGAUCUACAAACCAUGCAGAUAUGGUAGAGUCUAUUCUACCAAGAUCUAUAAACCAUAGAGUAGAUUCUAGUCUACCAAGAUUUACAAACCAUACAGGCAUAGAGUAGAUUCUAGUCUACCAAGAUCUACAAACCAUACAGGCAUAGAGUAGAUUCUAGUCUACCAAGAUCUACAAACCAUACAGGUAUAGUGUAGAUUAUAUUCUACCAAGAUCUACUAACCAUAGAGUAGAUUCUAGUCUACCAAGAUCUACUAACCAUACAGGUACUAUGCCAUAUGACUGAUUGGUGACUGACUAGGUUGAGGUGUCUCUUUGUGUCCAAUGCAGUAGGUACUCUGAGCCAUGCCAGAUCUGAGGGUCUUUUUCUUGGGCAGUCUGUCUGGGACUUCUUUAGAGUUCUGCUAAAGCGAUACAUAGCCAACCAAAAUGAUUAGCCUCUCCCAGCAUCAAAGCCCUGUGCUUUUAAAAGGCUUCUUUAACAGCUUACUUCAGGAGCUCUGGCCCCGGCUCACAUCCAGACUGGUUAUAAAAGCCUGUCUUCAUCUUCGCCUCGCUCUAAUCUAAACCCCACAUCCUCUCCUCUCUCCCCCGACCGACUGCCAGACUGGCCGCUAUCAAACACCCAGAUAUGAUGUCUGAGUUUCUCCUCGGAACGCCACGUUUUGAGACUAUUGAGGUCAUUUGGUUGAAUGAAUUUGAGGUGGAAAACUGCUGUCAUCCAACACAAGAGCCUGACAUUGUUAGUCGGCGAGGCCCGAGGGGACUUUAUCCUCCAAGCUCUGCCUGCCUCUUUGAAGACAAGGCCCCUGUCUUUUCUCAACGCUAGCAGCUGAUCCAUCUUCCCUCUCUGGCGUCCCACUCGGUGUGGUCAACUUAAUGGAGUGAACACGAAUAUCACUGGCAAUUAUGGGGAGAUGUUUAAGGAGAGACCGUGCAGGGUUUGUUAUUUCUACAGAUAUGUGAGUAGGUUAAGAGAGAGAGAGAGAGAGAGAUGAGGCUCAGCAGAUAGAUUAAUUACAGAGGAAAGGACACUAGUCCCUGUGGGCUGGCUGUGGUGGUGGAGGCUGGACCCGGUUCUGACUGCAGGCUGGAGGUCACCAGUCCUUGUGGAUCUGACUCUGGCAGUGGAGCUUGGACCCGGUUCUGAC